GGCCUACCAUGGUGGUAACGGGUAACGGGGUGUUAGGGCACGACACCGGAGAGGGAGCCUGAGGAACGGCUAUCACAUCCAAGGAUGGCAGCAGGCGCGCAAAUUACCCAAUCCCGACACGGGGAGGUAGUGACAAUAAAUAACAAUACGGGGUUCUUUCGGAUCUCGUAAUUGGAAUGAGUACAAUUUAAAUCUCUCAACGAGGAACAAUUGGAGGGCAAGUCUGGUGCCAGCAGCCGCGGUAAUUCCAGCUCCAAUAGCGUAUAUUAAAGUUGUUGCAGUUAAAAAGCUCGUAGUUGAAUUUCGGGAUCAGAUUGUCGGUCGUGCCUCGGUACGCACUGGCAUUAUUGGUUCCUACCUUCUGAAGAACCGCGAUGUCAUUAAUUUGGUGUCGCGGGGAAUCAGGACUGUUACUUUGAAAAAAUUAGAGUGUUUAAAGCAGGCGCACGCUUGAAUACAUUAGCAUGGAAUAAUGAAAUAGGACGUUUGAUUCUAUUUUGUUGGUUUCUAGGAUCGACGUAAUGAUUAAUAGGGAUAGUUGGGGGCAUUAGUAUUCAAUUGUCAGAGGUGAAAUUCUUGGAUUUAUUGAAGACUAACUACUGCGAAAGCAUUUGCCAAGGAUGUUUUCAUUGAUCAAGAACGAAAGUUAGGGGAUCGAAGACGAUCAGAUACCGUCGUAGUCUUAACCAUAAACUAUGCCGACUAGGGAUCGGAUGAUGUUGAUUUUAUAAUGACUCAUUCGGCGUCUUACGGGAAACCAAAGUGUUUGGGUUC
rnacentral:rRNA from 1 species